UGUCAAUGAUGUCCUAAUCUACGAUUUAAUUCGAAUUGAUGUGAGAUGAAUCACUGAAAACUGAGACA
rnacentral:snoRNA from 14 species